AACGAACGCUGGCGGCAUGCCUAACACAUGCAAGUCGAACGAGAUCUUCGGGUCUAGUGGCGCACGGGUGCGCAACGCGUGGGAAUCUGCCCUUUGGUUCGGAAUAACAGUUGGAAACGACUGCUAAUACCGGAUGAUGACGAAAGUCCAAAGAUUUAUCGCCAGAGGAUGAGCCCGCGUAGGAUUAGCUAGUUGGUGUGGUAAAGGCGCACCAAGGCGACGAUCCUUAGCUGGUCUGAGAGGAUGAUCAGCCACACUGGGACUGAGACACGGCCCAGACUCCUACGGGAGGCAGCAGUGGGGAAUAUUGGACAAUGGGCGAAAGCCUGAUCCAGCAAUGCCGCGUGAGUGAUGAAGGCCUUAGGGUUGUAAAGCUCUUUUACCCGGGAUGAUAAUGACAGUACCGGAAGAAUAAGCUCCGGCUAACUCCGUGCCAGCCGCCGCUGUAA
rnacentral:rRNA from 1 species